AGCAGGGAGCCUGGAAGGGGGACCGAAUGAAGACCCAGCCCUGUGCCCUGUGGGGACAUCAGUCAGCCUCUGUAGGCCCGCUGAACCGCACUCCCGCCACGAGUUCAGCGACGGAGCAGCGCAGAAGAGAAACCCUCCACUUCUCCCUUCUCUGGUUUCCCCAGAGUUCUGCUACUUACCUGGAGAGCCUGGUGGCUUGUGCUGGCUGCUACACCUCUGAACCUGCACAGUCCCAACCCCAGUAAGGGAAGCGUCUCAGGCAGGCACCAUUCUUCAAGGCCGGUCUCCGUCCCUCCGACCACCAAGCUCCCCUCCACUGCGUCCUAGCUGCCACUACAACUUGGGUUUUAUUUACCGCACGUGUUGUUCAGUAUCCCUUUUUUCAGCCCUAAACUUGCCUAGGGUUGUGCCAUGCAGGGAGCAGAAGCAGAAUCAAGAGGUGACCCACACACUCAAGCUUGAUCUCCAACUUGAGAUCAUUCCUGGAGCUCCUCGCCCUCUGUGCCGUACCCAGUGGCCCCUUCCUCUGUUUUCUCUUGCUUAGGCUUGAGUGGCCGGUCACUGCCCAUUCUGCCCAGCUCCUCUCUGGUUCUCAGCUCGGAUCUCUGCCCCGUUCCAUUCUCCCAACUCAGCAAAUUCCUAGAGAAACAGCGAGUGAGACUUGGGCACAGGCUGGGCAGAGGCUUGGCUGAACACCAGGACAUUCAGCUUGGGAAAGUAGUGGGGGACGUGUGGAGAUAAGGAAGGAAAAAUGGAAGCUCAGGGGGUUGUAACAGAGGUAACCAAGCAGCUAGAGGCAGCAACUGAUGUUUAGCCAAGUACUUCCCUAACAAGGCACUGAUAGGACUUCAGCCACUGGACGACUGACAGUCUGAGGAAAGCCACCUCCCACUAGCGCACUGAGCACCGAGCUAACUCUACUCCACGGCAACUGUAUCCUUAAGGUGUGCACACACCUUAGCCCAGUCAGACAAUGGUGAAGGGACUGGAAGGGGCCCACAUGUAUCUGGUGCCACAAGUGUCUGCAUCACAGAUCACAUCUCCGGUCACAGGUGUGCCUGAGAGGAAGCAGGCUGACACAGCAUGUGACCUCGGCCACUGCCACCAGCAC
ensembl:lncRNA